rnacentral:rRNA from 1 species
UGGGGAAUCUUGGACAAUGGGGGCAACCCUGAUCCAGCAAUGCCGCGUGUGGGAUGAAGGCCUUCGGGUUGUAAACCACUUUUGGCGGGGGCGAAAUAUCGAGUGCUAAUACCAUUCGGUGAUGACGGUACCCGCAGAAUAAGCACCGGCUAACUACGUGCCAGCAGCCGCGGUAAUACGUAGGGUGCAAGCGUUAAUCGGAAUUACUGGGCGUAAAGCGUGCGCAGGCGGUUAGGUAAGACAGGUGUGAAAUUCCCGGGCUCAACCUGGGAACUGCAUUUGUGACUGCCUGACUAGAGUGCGGCAGAGGGGAGUGGAAUUCCGCGUGUAGCAGUGAAAUGCGUAGAUAUGCGGAGGAACACCGAUGGCGAAGGCAACUCCCUGGGCCUGCACUGACGCUCAUGCACGAAAGCGUGGGGAGCAAACGGAUUAGAUACCCUGGUAGUCCACGCCCUAAACGAUGUCGACUAGUUGUUGGACGGGGUUACUGUUCAGUAACGAAGCUAACGCG